rnacentral:rRNA from 1 species
UAAGGAAUAUUGGUCAAUGGACGCAAGUCUGAACCAGCCAUGCCGCGUGAAGGAUGAAGGUCCUCUGGAUUGUAAACUUCUUUUAUCUGGGACGAAAACGGGAUUUUUAUCUCAAUUGACGGUACCAGAGGAAUAAGCACCGGCUAACUCCGUGCCAGCAGCCGCGGUAAUACGUAGGGUGCGAGCGUUAUCCGGAUUUACUGGGUUUAAAGGGUGCGUAGGUGGGCUUAUAAGUCAGUGGUGAAAUCUCCGAGCUUAACUUGGAAACUGCCGUUGAUACUAUAGGUCUUGAAUUAUCUGGAGGUAAGCGGAAUAUGUCAUGUAGCGGUGAAAUGCUUAGAUAUGACAUAGAACACCAAUUGCGAAGGCAGCUUACUACAUAUAAAUUGACGCUGAGGCACGAAAGCGUGGGGAUCAAACA